rnacentral:rRNA from 1 species
UCCUAAGGUAGCGAAAUUCCUUGUCGGGUAAGUUCCGACCUGCACGAAUGGCGUAAUGAUGGCCAGGCUGUCUCCACCCGAGACUCAGUGAAAUUGAACUCGCUGUGAAGAUGCAGUGUACCCGCGGCAAGACGGAAAGACCCCGUGAACCUUUACUAUAGCUUGACACUGAACACUGGUCCUUGAUGUGUAGGAUAGGUGGGAGGCUUUGAAGCGUGGACGCCAGUCUGCGUGGAGCCGUCCUUGAAAUACCACCCUUUAAUGGCUGGUGUUCUAACGUAGACCCGUUACCCGGGUUGCGGACAGUGUCUGGUGGGUAGUUUGACUGGGGCGGUCUCCUCCCAAAGAGUAACGGAGGAGCACGAAGGUUGGCUAAUCCUGGUCGGACAUCAGGAGGUUAGUGCAAUGGCAUAAGCCAGCUUGACUGCGAGCGUGACGGCGCGAGCAGGUGCGAAAGCAGGUCAUAGUGAUCCGGUGGUUCUGAAUGGAAGGGCCAUCGCUCAACGGAUAAAAGGUACUCCGGGGAUAACAGGCUGAUACCGCCCAAGAGUUCAUAUCGACGGCGGUGUUUGGCACCUCGAUGUCGGCUCAUCACAUCCUGGGGCUGAAGUAGGUCCCAAGGGUAUGGCUGUUCGCCAUUUAAAGUGGUACGCGAGCUGGGUUUAGAACGUCGUGAGACAGUUCGGUCCCUAUCUGCCGUGGGCGCUGGAGAAUUGAGGGGGGCUGCUCCUAGUACGAGAGGACCGGAGUGGACGCAUCACUGGUGUUCGGGUUGUCAUGCCAAUGGCACUGCCCGGUAGCUAAAUGCGGAAGAGAUAAGUGCUGAAAGCAUCUAAGCACGAAACUUGCCCCGAGAUGAGUUCUCCCUGAGACUUUAAGUCUCCUGAAGGAACGUUGAAGACGACGACGUUGAUAGGUCGGGUGUGUAAGCGCAGCGAUGCGUUGAGCUAACCGAUACUAAUGAACCGUGAGGCUUAACCUU